AAUAUGUUCCGUAUAUUCUGAUGGAAUGGAAUGGAAUAUCAGAAAACUGGUAUAAUCAUUGUCCAGAUAUAACUCCAUUACUUCAGGAAUUUCAUGACUCUAAAUACUACCCUGCAGAUUUUAACACCAUGAGGGAAAUUUCAAUUAAAAAUGAGAGUUCCUGGUUAAAUGUUUUAUGGAUACACAGAGAUGCAAAACUGCAAACUUCACUAAAUUCAGAAGAUUAGUGAACAGACGACAUCAGAUAGAACUUAUAGAAACUUAUAUAGAAAGGACUUACUAUAACUAGUUAGGAACCCAGCUUUACCUGGACACUAACAUUUCUCUAAUAAGGCAACCCGAUUGAUUUGGAAAUAUUAAAGAAAAGAAUAUUCAAGCUACAUGGGCUCCUGAGAAUUAUGAUCAUAAAAAUGACAGGCAUCCAAACAGAGAUUACUACUUUUUAUAUCAAUAUAGAAGUAGUAAUCUCUGUUAAAUCUGUUUUAUGUCCGAUCAUAACCCCUAGAACUAUUUGCCUCAACUUUUAAUUGGGAAUACCGUUGGAACUUCAAACAUCUUCUCAACUUUGAUUGAAAAUUCUAAGUUACCAUACAAAGCUUGGUUCCCAAACUAAAGUAAUAAUUUACAGGUUGAUCAAGUUCAAAUAAAUAAGUUCUGUGAUUUUAAGUUUGGUUUGUACAACAUUUAGUAUAAAUUCAAUUUCAAAUAUUUUUUUAAAAAUGCUCUACAGUCAUGUUGUUAAAUCUAUAUCUAGUUUAAUUUACUAAAAUGAAAUAACAAAAAAAACUUAAAGGGACUGUAAGCUUAUUUUUAAGUGACCCUCCAUCUGUACCCUUAUUAAUAAUUUGGAAUAUCUUUGCAUCAAUUGGAUUUACGCUUACAAUCCCUUUAAGAUAUAAUUAUAUCAAAUCAUUUUUUACAA